UGGUGCACCUGCAUGUGUUAUUGUAAGGUAACAGUGUAUCAUCAAGUUUCUAUGCGGUGUCAUGAGAUGAUGGAAGCAAUUUGUGACCUACCUGAUGCCUAUGAGAAGCCCACAACCAGGAUCUGAAUGCGACAGCACUUUCCUCACUUAUGAUUCCCAGCAACUGGUAUUCAAAGACCCCACCUUUCAUCAUACAUCCCCAGGCAGCAUACAUGGGGUUCCCAGGCAAUCUCCCAUCCAGCCACUGACCAGACCUAGACCUAGCUUCAGCAAGGUGGUAGCCUCAAGUGCCUUCAGACCAUAGCCUCUUUUGUCAUAUUGGAUUAAAUGUUGAACCUCAUAUUGAUAAAUUUCAAAUAUU